AGGCGGGGGAUGGGUGUGGGGAGGCCGGCCUGACGUGGUUCCGGUGCCCCCUGGCAAGCCUUGCCAGUCCUCCUGCCUGAGCCACGGUCCGCGUCCCCGCGGGAGCUUCUUGACGCAAAAAACGCGGCCUGUUCCGGGGUCCUGGUUCCUUUCUAAAAGACCCACAUUUUUGCCGGUCCCUGGCGUUGAGAGAGCUGUGAGCUAAGAUUUCUGUGCGCGGGGACCAGGGUUCGAAGCUGCUAGAGCCGGAGACAUGGCUGCUGGUGUCUCAGAUGAGGCUCGUGAGGAACCCUUAAGAGACAGAAAACAGUUUCUGGAGGAAACGGCACGAUGCAAUUAUAUGGUUAUUCUUGUCAUCCUUGUCACCAGUGAUGUCAAAUAGCAAUAUGAUGCGAUCCACACAUGUAUUCAAAGAAUUAUCAAUAGGCGCAGAAAAAGUAAGACAUUUUAAUGAAUACAUUAAACACCAAGUUAAAACCCAGUACCUCCAAGGCCCCAGGAACUGAGAUAAAAUUUCAUAUGUUGUGUUCCGGAAAAUCACUUUGAGCAGAACCGAGGGUGCUUGCCAUCAAGAACUACUUUGGGGGAAGUUUCUGUUUACAGCCUUAGGCUGGGCGGCUUUCCGGAGUAGAGACUGUGACUUUCUCACUAAAUUGAUAUCAAAAUGAGUUUUGGCUCAACUCAAGGUAUCUCUGCCCUUUGGGGAAGUGCAGCCGCUAUGGAAUCUUUAAAAUCAGCAACCUCUACAGCACCUACCCAGAAUCAUGCC